UACGUAGGGGGCAAGCGUUGUCCGGAAUCAUUGGGCGUAAAGCGCGUGUAGGCGGCCCGGUAAGUCCGCUGUAAAAGUCAAAGGCUCAACCUUUGAAUGUCAGUGGAUACUGCCGGGCUAGAGUCCGGAAGAGGCGAGUGGAACUCCUGGUGUAGCGGUGGAAUGCGCAGAUAUCAGGAAGAACACCAACGGCGAAGGCAGCCCCCUGGGUUAACACUGACGCUCAGGCACGAAAGCGUGGGGAGCAAACAGG
rnacentral:rRNA from 1 species